CAGACAUCUCAGUACUUAUUUGAGAGCUUACCUACCUAUUUAACUACAGAAGAGCAUAUUUUAGAAGGUCAUAUUUGAACUCUUUAUUAAAAUAAACAAAUAGCAACAACAAAACACCUUUAUAAGUUGAAAAAAGCGUGGUGAUGCAGAAUAAAAAGUGGAGGUUUGGAAUUCCAGAUAAAAAUUCCAGCUCUGCCUCUUGCUAUCAAUGGGCAAAUUAUAUAUCUCUUCCCUAAAGCUUCCGUUUCCUCAUCUAUUAAAUGUGGAAAAUACAUAGUGUGAGUCUGGCGGUGAAAAUUUAAAUAAGGCUAAUAAUGCAUGCAAAGAACUUGUUACUCCGUGCAUACAAUAUGGAUUCAGUAAAUGAUAGCUAUUAGAAAAGAGAAUCCAAACCUAGUAUGCAGGCGAACAUGAUGUGGGAUUUCAUAUCUAUUUGCUUUAUUCACAGAAAGUAGAUCAACAAGUUUUUUUCUUUUGGUGAAGAGCAGAUGGGCUCAAAAUAAACCUCUGGUUCAUCAUACACGCUCAGACAACCCUCCAGGAAAGGGAGGUUUUUGCCCUCCUUUGCAAGGUCUGUCCUGAGAUGUCAUUGUCCGGGCUUGGGAAGUACAGUCUCUGUCUGCCACACCAGGAAUGCCGUCAGCUUGAGAGGCAUGAGCCAGGAUCCAGCCUUAGAGAGCACUGCCAUCUCCUGGAAAACCCUCUAUACAUGAGGCCUGCUGUCUUCGCUCCUCCAACGCCACAAAUCAGAAAACAAGGCCUUGGUCACGGCCCUCUAUCUUUAGCACCAAAGGUCUGGGUACACAGAACCUUCAUCUUCUGCCCCUUCAAAUUGGAACACGCCAAUUCCUGAAGGAAAUGAAAAGGUGUUGUAUUGUCAUCUUAAUUAAAAACAAAUAACUAGGUUGGGGAGGCCACUGGUGCUGAGACUGUGAUUACUACUCCUGCCUUCUGCUCCCGAGGCUGGUAACAGACGCUGCUUCCUAUAAAUGAGUGCCUGGCACCAGUACAAUCCUGCCCUCGGGAUCUUGAGAAAAAGCAGGAGCCUUAUUUACACCAUUAAGGACAGUACUGAGGACUCCAGGAGUAAGUCACCUUCUCAGGCAGAGCAUCAGAGACCAGAAAGCCCUGCGUCCUUCAGCCUUUGCUCUGUGGCAAUUACUUAUUGAAAUUCCACCUUACAGACAUAUUGGAAUAACUAAUGAGAUAUUUUCAGAAAUCACUGAAGACCCAGAAAAGCACCUAUGAGUGUCCGUUUACACUCCCAACAUAUGAAGGCUGGCACACCCAACAGUGUCUGUGAGGCAACAGUGGAUUUUCAAAGACACGGCUUUAGUGAUUAGAGCCGGGUAGUUGUCAGAUUUUGGCUAGAACGAAAUGCAUUUGGGAAGAUAUCAGGCUCUUCAUCAUGAACAAGAAUAGGCUUUCUGUACUAACAGCUUUCUUUUGAAAUAAAUGAUUAUCUGUGUAAAGACA
rnacentral:lncRNA from 1 species